UUUUUUUUUCCUUAGUCAUGAUGUAUUUGAAAGGAUUUGUUAUUAUAUCCUCUGUCACUCUUCUGUGAGGGCCCUUACUGCAAUAAAAUAUAAAUGAAAACAUAAUUGCAAAACCUCAUCAUUUGCUAACACACUAACACAUUUGGGUAUACAGAGCAUCAGAAUGGAAAAUACUUUUUUUCCCCCCCUCCCUACCUAGCUUAGUAAGGAUCAGACAAACUGCUAUCCUUUAAAAUGUAUCUGUGUUCAUCUACCUAUCUAUAUGUGUAUGCUAAAUUUAAAGUAAAAUAUAAUGAAAUAGUUUCAAAAAAGGUGCUCAAUAACUUCCCCAGGGAAGCAGUCUAAAUCCUGUUAUUUGCAGGGAUAUUUAAAACUAAAUUGCAUAAAGCACUGGAAAAGUUUAUGGUAGAGAACCAUUUUGCAGAGGCAAGGUGAUUAACUACAUAACCCAGUAGGUCUUGCCUAUCUCUAGAUUCCGUGAUUCAUAUAGUACAUGAAGAUGACCUACGACUUAUUUUUUUUUGCGUUUUUGUAAUUAACCAAUAAAAUUAAAACCAGCAUCUUAUGAAAACGCUGUUCUUCAUUGUUCUGGGAAAUAAUAAGGUUGAGAAGUCUCACACAUCUACUGAUAGUUCUAAAAUUGCAACAAAAUAAAAAUCAAUUAUUUAAACUACCAUUUCACAAGUAUUGUAUCAUACUUAUGCUUCUAAAACAUUAAACUUUCUGACGUGUUUACAUUUGAUCAUGGUCUAAUGCAACCUGCUGUAUGCCCAGACCAAAGGGAAACGGCAAACUCAUACAGGUAAAUGAAAGGUGCACAAUAAGUAUUUAAGCCCGAUUUGAGCUGUAAAUCUAGUAGUCAAUAAAUGAUUGACUGAGACCAAUAAAUGAUUGCUCACAUCAGUGAGAAUUCCUGAAACAACACAGUGGCCUGGAGUCUUCCCAGCCUCACGUGGGAUAUUAACAUUGUCACCUUGAGCUCCAUCUACCGUCACUUAGGAGAAAGAUGCUGCCUUAUCAUUCGGGCCACCUACUAUCCAAAAGAAA
rnacentral:lncRNA from 1 species